UACGUAGGGUGCAGGCGUUAAUCGGAAUUACUGGGCGUAAAGCGUGCGCAGGCGGUUUGCUAAGACAGGUGUGAAAUCCCCGGGCUUAACCUGGGAACUGCGCUUGUAACUGGCAAGCUAGAGUGUGGCAGAGGGGGGUGGAAUUCCAGGUGUAGCAGUGAAAUGCGUAGAGAUCUGGAGGAACACCGAUGGCGAAGGCAGCCCCCUGGGCUAACACUGACGCUAAUGCACGAAAGCGUGGGGAGCAAACAGG
rnacentral:rRNA from 1 species